rnacentral:hammerhead_ribozyme from 1 species
AUUUAUGUCCCAAAUAGGACGAAACGCGCGUCCUGGAU